rnacentral:rRNA from 1 species
GAUGAACGCUGGCGGCGUGCCUAAUACAUGCAAGUCGAGCGAACAGACGAGGAGCUUGCUCCUCUGACGUUAGCGGCGGACGGGUGAGUAACACGUGGAUAACCUACCUAUAAGACUGGGAUAACUUCGGGAAACCGUAGCUAAUACCGGAUAAUAUAUUGAACCGCAUGGUUCAAUAGUGAAAGACGGUUUUGCUGUCACUUAUAGAUGGAUCCGCGCCGCAUUAGCUAUUUGGUAAGGUAACGGCGUACCAAGGCAACGAUGCGUAGCCGACCUGAGAGGGUGAUCGGCACCACUGGAACUGAGACACGGUCCAGACCCCUACGGGAGGCAGCAGUAGGGAAUCUUCCGAAAUGGGCGAAAGCCUGCCGGAGCAACGCCGCGUGAGUGAUGAAGGUUUUCGGAUCGUAAACCUUUGUUAUUAGGGAAGAACAAAUGUGUAAGUAACUAUGCACGUCUUGACGGUACCUAACCAGAAAGCCACGGCUAACUACGUG